rnacentral:rRNA from 1 species
AAACUAGGAUUAGAUACCCUGUUACUUUUAGGUUAUUUUUAGGUAGUACCAUAUAGUGUUUAAACUUAAUCUUUCUGGCGGUUUUCCAUCUUGCCAGAGGAGCCUGUGUUUUUAAAGGAUGACCCACUUUUAUGUUCACUCUCUUUUUGUUUGUGUACGGUUGUUUAGUUUUAAGGUAGAACUUAUUGCUUUUUCUUUUUUAUAAUUAAUUCAGAUCUAUGUGCAACUUAUAGGGGAGGUUUUCAUGGGCUACUAUUUUUGUUUCUGGGAUUUUAUUUUCCUGAGAAUUGGAUUUGUGAGUAAGCUAAAAAUUAAAUUUUUGUCUGGUGCAAGGCCUGGUGAAAGUACAUAUCGCCCGUCGCUCUUUUGAUAGAUAAGUCGUAACAUAGUA